UUUAAACAUAAUUUACGGAUUUUAGAAACGAAUAUGUAAUUGAAAUAUAAUUAUUUUAUUUCAUUUCGAAUACUUUUAAUGAUUAUGAAAUCAAAAUGUAUUUUCGAGUUUUACUUUAAAACGAACUCGAAUUCGAAACCACGUUCUAUUGAAAUUAGAAAACAAGUCCUAACCAUUUCGGAUUCAGCAACCUAAAUUCUACUCCUGGCCCAAUUGGGCAAAGCCCAAACCAAUAAAACCCCAAAACCAUACUCCCUUCCCUUUUCCUAAUUCACGUAAAAAAAGAAAAAAAAAGAUCAGACUCCCUUCCUUCAACCUCACGUACUCCCAGCUGUCCCUCUCCCUCUCUCAGCCGUGUGCCCUCCACGCCGUCGUCCCAGCCGCCGACCACCAUGCACGGUAAUCUCAGCCCUCUCUCUCCUCUUGCAAUCCUCUUUCUUUCUUCCUCUGUUUUCGGUCCUUCCCUCCCCCUCGAGUUUUUUUUCGUGCUUCCCUUAAUCCCUCACGUUUUGCGCAGCAACACCGCGACACAGCACCACCGUCCGCCGGUGAACCUUGCCGCGAGCCGCCACCUAUCCGCCGGCCAGCCUUCUCUCUCCCCUUUAGUUCUUGGCGGAGAAUUCUCUUUAGGCGACUUUUGAAAGUGUUAAAGUGGCCUAUCAGUUUGUUUACACAAGUCUCUAAGGAUCAAUAAGCGUUGCCCAUCUACAGGUUUGAAGAUGAUGCAUCAUUGGGAUCGGGAUUAGAGAGCUUGUAGUCAUAUUUGCUUUAUUAAGUGAUUUGGUUUGUUAACUUAAAUUUGAAAUUGUCGUACUAUUCGUAUUUCUUUAUUUCAGUUAAUUGGUUUUGGACCUAAUAUGCAAUAAGAUUAUUUAUGAACCUAAAAGUUAGUUUUAUGUU